CAUUUGUUCCAUAAACUGCAUGGCCACGCUUCAGUUCUCACUUCUCAAUUCUCAAUAUUACUUGACUUUUGCUUCAAUAAUCUAUAAAUGUACUGCUUAUUAAUAGUAAGUAAUGUAGUUGUUAUAAAUUUAGAUUUUGGGUAGAAUUAUGAAUGUAGAAUAUGGUCAUUUCGAAUAUGUGCUUUAUAAGUACUAAUAAACAGCCAAUAUGUAAAUAAUAGGCAUGCUAAUAAACAACAAGGUAUUAGUGAGAAUUGGUCAUUAUACUAAAGUGUUACAGGUAGGGAUCUAAAAUAUGGUCAUGCAGAAUAAAGCAUUAAUAUGUGCUUUAUAAGUACUAAUAAACAGCCAAUAUGCUAGUAAUGUGCGUGCCAAUACGCAACUGGGGAAUAGUAAGAAAUGGUCCCUAAACAAAUUAUUUGUAUUAAUUGUAUUUUACAUGAUUCGGCAUCUGUGCAUUGAUCUUCUUGCAGUAAGUUAAAGUAUUUCACACUUUUCUCUGAGACUGAAAAAGAGCAGAGCAGGUCACCCAGUGUGGUGCCUCUCAUCUUUUGUGUGCUGGUUUCCUCAUGCCAGCUUUCUGCUGUCACAUUAGUGCAUGUCAAAUGCACAACCUCACAUGCAAAUGAAAUCUUAGACUUUUAGCUUUUUGUUAGCUCAGAGGCUUCCUUUGCUAACAGGAAGUAGUUUUUAGUCUUUCAAACAGAUUUGCUAAGUGUCAUCAUGUUUGUCUGUCCUUUCUAAGUGUCUCUGAGGGGUGUUUUGGAGCAAUUGUUUACACCUGCUGCAGUGGGUAGAUAUUUGGUGCUGCAGCUGCAUGUCAUGAAUUGAAUGAAAGCAGGCACUUGAGCAACUAUGUGUGCACCAAGUAAAAAGCACAAUGUAGGAGCAUUAGCAUGCUAAUGAGGUGCAGGGCGACAGGUGGCCUGCUAGACAGCUCAAUUAAGCAGCUCGUUAAAGGCCAAGCUAACGAAGCGGCCUGCACUGCAAGCCUCAACAAACAAUGUGACUGUGCAGGCUACAAAUUGCUUCCAGUGGAACAUUGACAGGAUGUGCCACCCAUUUUUUAAAGAUGUUCAGGUUUUUGGUGAACAAUUAGUGUGAGGCUGACGUAAAUGGUCUCGACCCCUGGUUGCUGUGAACAUUUAUAGGGAUGCAGAGGAGGGAUGGAGAGAUGUGUUCCUCAUAAAGAAUCCAGCUGAGACAAUAGAACAGCACACAGGCACUUGGGGAACAGAAGGGUGACACAGAGGGCAGCUCUUACCCACAACAACUCUCCUCCUUUGAAAACAAAACCCCAACCUGUUACUGCUUCAAUCUGUCUGUGGGGGGGGAUGCUUGUAAUAAAGCUGCCAGCCCCCUUGUUAGGCAUCAUGAGGGAUCAAGGGAGCAGGUUGUGGUCACAUUUGUAGCAUUUGGCUGCAGCAAAUCCCACAGCUUUUUUCCUGAAAAGAAGCAGCCACCUUAAAAGGGGGGCUGUCCUCCAGUGAAGACCCUGGUCUUUCUCCUGCUCUCAGCCUGCGCUCAGCGGUCUGCAUGUCCCUUACCAUCGCUUGCAAAUCCCCCUUUAUCCGCUGGCAGCCAGAUGGGGUGGCAGGAAUAAUAGGCAGAGCCUGAUGAGCACCAUUCAAUUUGUCCAGCCGUGUAAAGGAGCUUGUAAGCCGUUCCAUUUGAGCAGGGUGUAAUAGUAGUCAGGGGAGCAGAGGCUAUGUUAAGACUUAAUUACCUACUAAUGGCUGUUGUAGGGACAAAAGACUUGUGUAGACCCCAACAACUUACACUCCUGUAAUAGAGGAGAAAGGCUGGGAGAGGAAGGGGUUGGGGGAAAUUGUUUGAGAUGUUGUGGCCAGAAAUUUGUGAUGGCCAUGUGUUAAAAAUGUCAUCAACACAACUGUGUUAAAGGUGUGUAUUAGGUGUGUGGAUGAAAAGAAAAAGGAAAAGAAAAAGACUUUGCUGCAUGUACUUUGAUUUUCUUUAGAAAGCCAUUUUGGCUCAGAAACCUGUGAGAAAAGGUUUUUUUUUUUUCAUUGUUUUUUCUUUUUCUUUUCUUAUUCUCUUUUUUCAGUUUGAGGGAAGAUUAGCAGGAUUAAGACUGACUCACAUAUGCUGCUUAUCACCAUUGGUAUUCAACACAAGCCCAACUGCCAUCCAGAUGGGGAGAGAAAGAGAAAGACAGAGGGCGAGAGGGAAAGUUUUCCUCUGAUAUUAAAGGAUUGCUACACUGAAUCAGAACUGUUUGGAAUAAUUGUGGAAGAGAAAAAGGCUGUUUAGUGAGAAUGGGAGAAACCGUUAGAUGGUGAGAGGAGGGAAUCAUUAUGGAUUUAUGAUGGAAAAUAGUUAAAGGGGUGCAGGAUAUAGAGUGGGGUCCAAAAAUG